rnacentral:lncRNA from 1 species
AUCUGAGAGUAUCCGGUGUGCUCAUAUGGCUUAAUCGAUCAAUUAAAUAUCGAAUUCCAAAACUUAUUUAAUAACAUAAGCGUACAAAAUAAAUUAAAAUAAUGUGAUAAAGGUUCUAUAGUUGUGGCGGAUACAAUGCAAUUUUGUCAAAAAGCGUAUCGUAAUUCUAAAAUAGUAAUAAAUAGUAAUAGUAUAUAACGUUAUACGUUAUAACCUAACAAUAUACAACGUUAUACGUUAUAUGAGACUAUGCUAAUACGUUUUCAUCAAAACUUCAAAAUUAUUGAAUGCUAUGAAUUUCCAGCAAAAAUGCCACUUACCUUGGUGACGUCGAGGGUCACACGGAAGCGCGCGGUCAACCUGCAAUUAAUUUCAAUUAUAAAAAUAUCAUUGCCUUUUAUGGCAGUGGCAGGUGCUUAGCGGUCAGAGGUUAGCUUUUUGCUCGAACCAUUCUCAUGGUUUCCGUGUGUCUUUGCCGAAAUCACGCUCGAGAACUCGUUCCCGUUGCUGAGAUUAAUUUCGCACGGGCUGCUCCCAGAAAACGCGACUACUUUCCCAAUCACAUUUCGGAGGAAAUUCCGAACACGUUAUGAUAAUUGUUAAGAUAAGAGGACAUUGAAAAAUUAAGGCAGAACGUAUUUUACAUUUACAUUUUAUGCUUACAAUUCA